ensembl:lncRNA
CCUACAAAGUUUGAUGUUAACCACGUGUCCGAUCUGUUUAUUUGUGUGCCUGUCUGUCUCACUAUCAAGAAAUUGAGUUUAUUUGUGUGCCUGUCUGUCUCACUAUCAAGAAAUUGCAACGGCACACUCCCCCACGUCAUUAUCUGAUAUGUCCGGCCAGUCCAUACACCCUCUAGAGACCUCAGACAAGGCACUGAGCAGAGAGGCAUCACCCCAUGUAACACCUGAGAUGAAAGGACUGGCGGGCAUCCCAGAGGAAGUCGACAUGGAGGUUGGUGAUCCGAGCUUCUCUGUGGAUCUCCCAGGACUAUUGGACGAUGAUGAAGAGUCGUCGCUGCUCUUCCACACGCUGAUCCCCCCCCUGGCCGACCGCAAGGCCGUGAGCUACUUCUUCUGGAGCCUGCUGGAGAAUGUAGCAGCCAAGAAACUGAGUGUGGAACAAGAUGAGCCCUACAGCGGCAUCACAAUAUCACGUGGACCCAACUAUGAGGCGCCAUUUUACUUUUAGAAAACUGACCAUCCAGACACAAACACUGCAUAGCACGUACACCGGUUAGAUAGUGGACUGUGUGGUACGCCAUAGAUUGUGUUUAAUUGUUGUAUUGCAGAAGUUUAGGAUCGAUCUCUGAUCCAUUUUAUACCUAUUUUAAUCAUAAGCAAUACACAAAGUAAAAAGUUUAAAAAAUAUAUAUAUAUAUACAAUAUAAUUUUAAUGGGAAGCACGUUUUCACUAGUUCUAUGAAAUAUUUGUUUAUUUGUAAAUGAAUGUAUUUGUUAUUUAAUUUUAGCAUUCUAAAAUAUAUAUUUAAUAACGGUUUUACUCUUAUGACAUUUGUAAUUUUAAAAGGAU